rnacentral:rRNA from 1 species
GGGAGGGAGCAGUGAGUAAUUUUGAGCAAUGGGGCGUGACCUGAACCAGCCAUGGGGGGUUAGACAUUUAUUUUUUCGGGUUAAAAACUUUUUUUACGUGGAAAAAAAAGGUCGGGUUACUUACUGCGGGCUCCCGACGAAAUAGAUAGAAUAAGCACCGGGUAACUACGUGCCAGCAUACGCGAUAAUA